rnacentral:lncRNA from 10 species
CUGAAGAUAAGCUUGGUGUCAAAUAAUCUAAACAAUUACAGUUUUUGUACUAGGAGAUUAAUACAGUAAUACCAGAGUUUGUGAAAUCUUUAAUCUCUGAAGUCUAACAGUGUUAGUUAUGUGUGCUCUACUUUUUCCUAAAAUCAUUUUGCCACCCCAAAUGUCACUUGGUAGAUUACUCUAGAAAUAAGUCAGUUUAAUGCCCCAAAUCCCCCAGAAAACAAGAAAACAAAAAGGUAAGUAUUGAAUAAAUAAAAGCAAAUAUGCAGUCAACAAUUACCACACGCCCCUGUGGAGACAACCAUUACUAUAUUGAACCUGGUCCUACACAAAAUUCAUAAAGUAUAAUAUACUUUCAAAUAAUUACAUACAUCAUUUUUAAAGAAGUUCUUGAUUGAAAACCAUUUUUGUAUGUAUGAUACUUAAUCCUUAUCUUCUGUUGCAGCCAAUAAUAUCUUUGAAGGGCAACUUGUAGAGACAUAAAUUGAUUUGAUUUGAUCCAAUAUCUGUCCAAAAAAAUCUUAAAUACAAAAUAAGCUUUAAAAGUGCUAUUAAAUUAGGGUAUUUUUCCCAAUAAAUAGACAGAAAAUUACAAAUAAUUAAAUCACAAAUUUUCUGAUUUAUUUCAUGUUUUUUUUUUUCGAGUUUGACAAGGAGUAUUUGAGAAAUACUGCAGCCUUACUGAAAAUAGCCUGAAGUUAAAAGCUGUUUCAAGAUAAAACAAGGUGUUUUGGGUUAAAUAUAUGUUUUCAAAAUACUCUUGUGUUGAAAAAUGCCCAAUCCUAUUAGACUGCGGUGCCUUGCUAGAUAAAUGUGUAUUAAUUGUUUGACUGUCAAAUAUGCUCUUUUGAAGAGUUGACUAUAUGAGCUAGAAAACAGAGCUUUCAGAAAUCUUCCUUCUCCACAGGCCUGUGAGUUCUCUCAUCACCAGCUUUUCUCAUCAUCCCCAGUGGCCUCAUAGGCCACGCCCCCUUGGGAUCCUUCAGAUAAGGAAAGCAGCAGGCUAAGGAGCCAUGCUCACAGAAAAACGUGACCUUAUUUUUGCUCAUUGGAAAGAUAUUAUAGCACUUUCAACUCUAACACUAAGCCAAAUUUAGACCUCCUUUUGCCACAUGACUUUAAAUUAGCAUCCUGGAUAUAAUACCUUCUUCUUCUGUUAGAAAAAUAUUUUAGUAGCUCAUAGAAAAUAAUAAUUUGAAUUAAAGCAGUAGCAACAGAGAAGGAGAAAAAUGGAAAGAUAGAAUAUAUAUUUUGGUAAUGGAAAUCAACAGUACUUUUUGGAUUGAAAGUCAAGAAGAUGAGAAAGGGAGGAAUUAAGAAUGAUUAGACUUCUGGCUUGAAUGAAUGCUUGGAUGGUGGUGCUUAUGGCACAUAUAGUGAAGAUGAGGGGACAGGAGUGAUUGAGUGGUGGGAUGGAUGAUGAGAGUUCUGUUUGUAUACAUAUUAAUGAUGAGGUUUCUGUUUGUAUACAUAUUAAUGAUGAGGUUUCUGACACAUUCAAAUGAUAUGGCACAUGUGUGGAUACACAUUCAAGUGUGUAGCCCAAAGGGAAAACAGAAACUUCAUAUGUGGUCAAGAAAAGCUACUUUCAACAUGGAAAAGGGAAAGGAUAGACCAUGUUCUACUUUUGAUGAGGUUUUUAAGGACAGGGGGAGAGACUGUCUAAUCAUCCAGAGUGACAGGCAAAGGACACAGCUGCUCAGCAUUUGAGAAGAUCAUAGGAAGAAGUUAGACCAAGUGGAACACAUCCUGUACUGUGUCACAGGAAAGAAGAUGGAUACAUGUGCAGGGAGGACUGAUUGUAAGAUUGAAUGAUGGUGAUGACAGUUUCUUUUUACUCAGUACAUGGUACAAAGUGGGUAGGGAUAUGAAGAUUUGGGAAUAGAGAAUAAACUAUGAAAUAAUCACACCAAAGUGGAAAAAUAAGCUUACCAGGAAAUCACAGAAUUGCCAUGCAAUGUUGACCGACUUUUGAACUUGAAUUUGAAGUAAAGCCAAUUUGAUUAGGGAUGGCAGAGACAUAGUGAACAGGUGAGUUUACUUGUGACACAAACAUUUUAAUAAAUGUGUUCACGAGCAAAUAGGCAAUUAUGAAGUCCCAUCUUCUGAAUUUAUUUAUGUCAUCAUUUGCAGUGUUCCAUAUUUCCUAUAAUGUGUGUGUUUCCAUUCAUCUACUAUGACUGUUUCAUUAAGGUAAUUAUUAGCUGAUUAACUUAUGAAUUUAUGAAGCUCAUAUAACAUAAUCGGUGUUAGGGUUACAAGAAAAUAUAUGGUUCUCAGUAAAUAUAUGUUGAUAUGCUGUGCACAGAACUUAAAAAUUUUAAUCAUUUUGGUUCAUCUGGGAAAGGUCACUUAAAACUUUAGGAAUCAAAUUUUGACUCUUUAAAAACAUAAUAACUAAUAAGGAUUCUAUACGUACAUACAAAGUCAAAUGCCUGCUACAUUAACUCUGUUUAAAUACUAAUGUUCUGCUACUUGAUUGAUACCUUAUUUUACAUGUUAUGUCAGUUACAUUAUCAAUCUGAAUUUUAUAGCAUAUUUAUGCUAGUACAAAUUUUAAACAAAUAUCUGAGAUCAGGACUUUUCCCCCUUUUCUUUUAAGAAGUAACUAAUAUCUGCUCCUAUUUCUAAAUCAGACAUUGGAUGAUUCUCUUCCAUCAUGCAGACUGCAUGGAAAAGCCUUGAAUUAAUAGUAAGAAUUCUUUGCUAUUGAAUUCUAAACACAUAAAUAAAGUUAGGAUGUAAAGUCUUUUGUUUAAUCAAAGUUAAAGGUAGAAAUAUCACACUGAAUAACCUUGCUCUUCAGAAAAGUAUGUCUCUCACAUUCUGAUAAUAAAUGAAGAUCAAGAAAAACAAAUCUGAUUUCUGCAAACCAAAGCCAGAAAUGUACUAUGAGGAUGAGGAAAAGGGUUAUUUCUGACUUGAUUUGGGAGUUUUAGAAAUCUCAAGCCAACUAACUUGCAGGAAACCCCACACUUUCUAAUGAGUGCCUUUGAUCUACUAAGUGACAUCUUUUUUUUUUUUUUUUUUUUUUAAUCUUUGGAGUGAUUUAUUACACUGACACAUAAGGAAGUCACCCUCUUUCUCCAGGUUGCCUCCUCACGUCUUCCCUAUCAGGAUCUCCUUCCACACUUAGUGCUCAGUGGAAGGUCCAGGUGGCUGAGGGUGGCGGUAGCUAGAGAGUAGUGAUAGGGACAGGAGGCAGGGAAAUUCUGGGCGGAAGAGGGCAGGUCCCCGGCAAAGGCUCCACCCUCAAACCUGGAACCGCAGCCUAAAGUGAGAACAUUUAGCAUUGCCUGUUUCACUGCUAGAAUGUUGCGUUUUCCAAAACCACCCAUGGCCCACCUUGCCCCCAAUUCUGCGCAUAUAAAAACUCCAGGCUUCGCCUGCAGAGAAGAGGAGAAGCGGCGGGACCUCAGAGACUAUGGAUGGACCUUGGAGAGAAGCAGCUUGACUCCAGAGGGACAGCUUGACAGCGUUGCUUCAUAGAGGAGUCUGGCCGUUCCCAGCCAGACUCUGGGGGAAGAUUAUCUUCCCACUCUAUCCCCUUUCCAGCUCCCCUUUCAUCAGCAAUAAAAUCAUCUGUGUCACCACCCUUCAAUUCAUUCGUGCAACCUGAUUUUUCUUGGACGCUGAACAAGAGCUCAGGUGCCACGGGUGCAGAUACUAAAGGCUGUCACACUGAUUCUCUGCCCUCGCUGGUGGAGAGCAACCGCCUCAUGCAAAAAGGCAGAGGGCCCACUGAGGUGUUUUACACUUAAGCUGUCCAUGGAUGGCAAAGCUAAAAGAGCACUGUCACACACGCCCUCUGGGGCUUCCGGGCUCGCAGGUGCUCCCCCUAGCCGCACAGAGUUUUGCUCCUGCCAGUGCCCAAAAGCACUUGCCCUGGCUCCUGCACCCACUCACCCAUGCUCCCCCCUCCUGCAAGGGGUUGAACGCAAUGGGACAGAGUGAGUGGAGUCUUCUGCCGGCAUCCAAGUGGCUGGCUACUUCUAGCACCUGUGCACUCCAGUUCCCACCUGCCAAGGGGUCAGGGAAAUUUUCCUGCUUCAGUAGGAAUAUGAACACCGAGCCCUAUCAAAAGGGUACAUGAGUUGUUUUACUUUAGAAAUAGAUGAAAAACAUGUAGAUUUCACUAACUAUUUUUGACUACUUGCAGAAAUUGAAAGUUAAAAAUAUGCUCAGCAUUUUAGAGGUUUUGCAUUGCAAUGAAGAUACGUGAAGGUAGGUGCAUACUGCUGGCCCUCAUGGCUUUAAGCAAAGUAGAUACAAGAUAAGCAUACUUAAAAACAAACAACCUGAAGCAGAUUAACAAUAUUUGGCCGUGCAGAAGAGAGUGUGGGAAGCAUUACCAUGAGACUGUAAUUUCGUAGCUUUUAUCUGACCAGAUAGACAGCUCUGCUGGUUGAAAAUUUGGUGCUCAUAAGUCCACAAACCAACCUUACCCUGCCUAGGUCUUUGAAGUAGAGCAUUGCUCAUGUUUUGCAGAUUAUGUUUUUAUCACUGUUAAAACUCAGGUUAAGUCCCAAAUCCUUUGACCAAUAAUAAUGUAUUCUAAUUAUUAAGCACCUAUACCAGGUACCCUGCAAAGUGUUUCCCAGUCAUUGCUAUUACUUUUUGAAACUAAUCUGAAAUAGAGUUAUCAUCAUCUAUUAGAAAUGAGACAAAUAACUUUCAAGGAGAAUGAGUAACUAGCCUAAUAUCAUAUGGUUAGUGAGCUGCAACUUAAAUCUGGAUCUAUGGUACCCCAUUAUCACUCUUCUCAGACCCCAUAACCCCUUCUUCAUAGGGAGAUGAGGAUGACAUAAAUUUGUUUAUCUGAAGAGAUUCUGCUAGGGAAAAGCAAGAAAUGUGACUAUUAAGCUCUUUGUUCUUGCCAUCUAAACUCUUCUCAGGGCCCUGUAGAAAGUUAAUGGCUAUUCCAUGGGAAACCAAGAAUAUAUUUGUGGCAGGCAAUUUGUUGCCUAUUUAGUAGCUACUUCUUAUCUUCUAUGAGAACUUAAAAUCCUGUUGGUCUAAGCAUGGUAACCCCAUUUCUCUUUACUGUGAUUGAUUUAAGGACGGGCAUGUGACAGAGUUCUGGCCAACAGGAUUUCAGGAACAGAGAAGUUGCUUUGGGGAAGGAUUCUGCUUCCUAAUAAACGAAGGUGCUGGCAAAGAUAUUGACAUCUAGCUUCCUUGAACGUGGGAGAAUGUGACGUUUGGAGCUGCAUCAAUCAUCUUGUGACCUUAAAGAGACAAGCCUGAGGAUAAGAAGACAUGGAGGAGGGCAGAGCGAAGGCCAGGAGGAAGCCUGGAUCCUGACCAUACGGCUGAGCUACAGAUCAGUUUCUAAGGCCAGACUUCUGGCUAUGUUAGGGAUUGAUUGAGUUAUCACCCAAACCAGGAUCCUUUUCAGAAUGGAAGUGGGUACUAUCAGAAAUAGCACAAAUACAAACAUGGCACAGUGGGACAUGUGGUCAGCCCUAUGUGAGGUCUCGGAGUGUUAUUAUUGCUGUCACAAAUAUUCUACUACUUGCAACCCAAAUCAGUCCUAGCUUAUAUAUAUAUAAUAUAUAAAUUAUAUAUUUUAAUUAUCUAUUUAUAGCAUACAUAUGG